GUAGAGGAAGUGAUGAGUCUUCAUGUCUCUUCUCUGAUGUUGCUGGAGAAAGCGUGGUGUCCUCUGAGAUCUGUCCAUAUGC
rnacentral:snoRNA from 1 species